rnacentral:lncRNA from 1 species
UACCACCGCCGCCGGGCUCCCUUUGGUUCAAAUGGGCACAAGUGCACCCCGGCCUAGCGUUCGGCUUUAUUCAGGGGUGAUUCGCUUGGGAACGGAGCCUGCGCCCCAAAUUCCCGUCAAAACUCAUCGUAAGC